UACGGUAGGUGGCAAGCGUUGUCCGGAUUUAUUGGGUUUAAAGGGUGCGUAGGCGGCCCUGUAAGUCAGUGCUGAAAUAUCCCGGCUUAACCGGGAGGGUGGCAUUGAUACUGCGGGGCUAGAGUACAGAUGAGGUAGGCGGAAUUGACGGUGUAGCGGUGAAAUGCUUAGAUAUCGUCAAGAACACCUAUAGCGAAGGCAGCUUACUAGGCUGUAACUGACGCUGAGGCACGAAAGUGUGGGGAUCAAACAGG
rnacentral:rRNA from 1 species